AAACAAACCUAAGUCUUUUUUUCUAUACUUCGCUUCCUUUUUGUCGGAGAAUCAAAUAAAAGACUUUUCAUCUUCUCUGUUCAUCUCUUUGCGACGCUUUUUAUCAGAGAUCAAAUUGAUGGAUCGAUCUUUGUGAGAAAACGAUGAUUCAAAACCAACAAUGAUACUAAUCCCAACUUCCUCUUCUUCGUCUUACUCUUGUUGUACCCUUCCUCAAGCUUCCUUCAAUUCUAAUUCAUAUCCAUCAAAUCAGUCUCUGUUCCUCUCCAAAUCCGGUUAUCCAAUUCCACAUGAUUGGUAGCUUGAAACAUCAACCAGCAAUGGAAACAGAGGAUGAUGAAUCAGUGAGCAUGAAUGGAAUAGCGUGUUCAAGAUGGAUAUUCUCAAAUAAUAUGCCGUUCGUAAUGAAACAAAAACUCCAAAUUUAGACUCCAGUGACUCAGAAUCGAGGAUCUCAAAGGUUUGAAGUAUUAGCAUCAGAACGGAAUGAAAGUUAUAUAGAGGAGAUAGAGAGAACCAUCUGAUCUGAGCUUACUAAAAAAAAAAGAGUUACAACAGAGGGAGUCUCUGUUUAAGAAAAAAUAACAGAGGGGGUCUGAGAAGAGCUAAGGAGAGAAGAACUGAAUAUGUAUCAAAGGAGAGACAAAGGAAGAACAUGCAAGGUUUCUCUAUGAUGAAAGUUAUAGUAAAAGAUGCAAUCACUUUGCAGAGAUCUCCGGGACAGAGGAUGAAACUUUCCAUUAGGCAGAUGAUACAAAGAGAUAAAGUUCUCAAAUAUUAUGAUGACCAUAGUCCAGAUUACAAAUUUAGACAACGCAUUUGUCGACCAACUGGGACAAAACACGGUGAAAUUUACCUCCUGCUCCAGUUAUUUUAAAGGUGUCAAUGAGCUUCCAUUCACCAACAGGGGGUAACGUUGAACACGAAACAUUUGAGAUCUUUUGCAUGAAGCCUGGAUUUAGCACCCUGAUAAGAAAACACAAUAGAAUAUGGAUCAGUAUUAGUUGAGAAUUGAUAUCUAUCUAUAUAGCAAAAUGAAAUGUAUCUUACAGUUUGGUGUACCAGGACGCACUCAAAACUCUCUCCUCCAUAACUGGUGUUUUGUUUUCAGCAAUGAAACAUUUUUAGAGUUA